rnacentral:lncRNA from 1 species
GCCAAUUGGUAUCAGCGAUUGGAACUCCAUAUUUUGGAUAGCUCACCCAGGUGGUCCAGCCAUUCUCGACCAGGUUGAAGCAAAACUUAGUUUAAAACCUGAAAAGAUGAGAGCAACCAGGCAUGUUCUAAGUGAGUAUGGAAACAUGUCAAGUGCUUGUGUGUUGUUUAUCUUGGAUGAGAUGAGAAAGAAGUCUUUAGAGGAAGGGAAAGUCACCACCGGAGAAGGAUUAGAGUGGGGUGUUUUGUUCGGUUUUGGGCCUGGUCUAACGGUGGAAACUG